UGACUUUGAUCAUGGCUCAGGAUGAACGCUGGCGGCGUGCCUAACACAUGCAAGUCGAGCGAUCUUCUUCGGAAGAGAGCGGCGGACGGGUGAGUAACGCGUGGGUAACCUGCCCUGUACACACGGAUAACAUACCGAAAGGUAUGCUAAUACGGGAUAAUAUGCUUUUAUCGCAUGGUAGAAGUAUCAAAGCUCCGGCGGUACAGGAUGGACCCGCGUCUGAUUAGCUAGUUGGUAAGGUAACGGCUUACCAAGGCGACGAUCAGUAGCCGACCUGAGAGGGUGAUCGGCCACAUUGGAACUGAGACACGGUCCAAACUCCUACGGGAGGCAGCAGUGGGGAAUAUUGCACAAUGGGCGAAAGCCUGAUGCAGCAACGCCGCGUGAGCGAUGAAGGCCUUCGGGUCGUAAAGCUCUGUCCUCAAGGAAGAUAAUGACGGUACUUGAGGAGGAAGCCCCGGCUAACUACGUGCCAGCAGCCGCGGUAAUACGUAGGGGGCUAGCGUUAUCCGGAAUUACUGGGCGUAAAGGGUGCGUAGGUGGUUUCUUAAGUCAGAGGUGAAAGGCUACGGCUCAACCGUAGUAAGCCUUUGAAACUGGGAAACUUGAGUGCAGGAGAGGAGAGUGGAAUUCCUAGUGUAGCGGUGAAAUGCGUAGAUAUUAGGAGGAACACCAGUUGCGAAGGCGGCUCUCUGGACUGUAACUGACACUGAGGCACGAAAGCGUGGGGAGCAAACAGGAUUAGAUACCCUGGUAGUCCACGCCGUAAACGAUGAGUACUAGCUGUCGGAGGUUACCCCCUUCGGUGGCGCAGCUAACGCAUUAAGUACUCCGCCUGGGAAGUACGCUCGCAAGAGUGCAACUCAAAUGAAUUGACGGAAGGGA
rnacentral:rRNA from 2 species